GAGUCAGGCAGAGGAGAAGAGGCAGGCAGAACAGGUGAGGGCUUGUCUUUCCAGAGGUUGGGCCUAUCCAUAAAGAUGGAAGCUAAGUUGGAAAGAGCUCCGUUGGAGGAAGGGCAGCUGGGCCAGGCCCUGGAAUGUCCCCAAGAUGCCCUCUCACAUGGCAGUGAAGAAGCAGUGUUGAUCUGUUCUGUUAGUGGAGGUGUCAAAACAGCUGCUGCAGUUCCAGUCCAGUCUCUGGUUUCUUUUGAGGAGGUGGCCGUGUCUUUCA